rnacentral:rRNA from 1 species
UUCCACCACCAUGCCACCCUGAACACACCUGAUCAUGUCUGAUCUAAGAAGCUAAGCAGGGUCAGGCUUGGUUAGUACUUGGAUGGGAGAUCAUCUAGGAACACCAGAUGCCAUAAGCA